GCAGGAUUGAUGACAGAACUUAGAAUUUUUGUCCAGCUUCAACAAAAUGGUCUUCAUUACGUUGCAAAUGAUGACAAAUGGACUGUUUUUACUUGAGCUUGGGACCAUGUUGGGACAAUCGUGAAUCGUCUCGUGUGCAUGAAGCACUGGCAUCAUCUAGCGGUUAUUUUUAACAAUUCAGACAAUUGUCCAGUGUACCGCUAGAUGGUGUUGGUAUUGUUUUUAAAAUGGCGAAAUGUGUGAAGAGUUUUGUCAUCUUCUGUUUUCGAACUUUCAUGUUUUACUGCCCAAAAUCAACGAAUUAACUACAUAAAAUGUAUCUGCCGUCUAGUCAUCAGAUUUAAUUUGGACCCCAUUUUAAGAACAAAUUGCUCAACACUUCUGUAACUCACACCCCCAGCUUCAUCUGCAUCAUCCUCUCACAUCUUAGACAAAACUUUGAGCUAUUUUGCCCAAAAGUUGUGGCAUUGGAUGUACAAUUACAGGUUCCUUCUGGCCUGAAAGAUGUUUACACCUUUGAACACUUUUGGUGGGGUUGUUGCGUCAUGAAAUUGUAUUGCUGCCAUUGCCUGCAUCUCCCACUUUAUAGCUACAAGAAACGAGCCUACAACAGAUUGAGGAAUGGUUGUGUGCUAUGCCAUUGGAUCCAUUGGAUUUCGCGAGUCAAUCUAUUCAAGCCGCCGAUGUCAAUCUACAACGCAGUUCCUUUAUUGGAAUUGUGUGGUCCUUGAUGCUGGCCUUUGUCCAUUACAGAAGAGGGAUUUCUACCAACUCUCUGCUCCAUCCUUAUCUUCGCUAUCCCCACCCAUCUAGCUUUUCUGCUUAUUAUGCUGCUAAACAAUUUGUCGCACUUCACUGACGAGUUAGACCAGUCGCUUCCGUCCGCCUGUCACUCUCCACGGAAUUAUGCCCAGGUAAUGCAGAGGAGACGUCGAGAAGAUGGAUUUUCUCAUCUUUAACAGUCGUCACCGGUCUCCGUCAGAUGUUGCCCCUGCUCCUGGUGCGAACGAAACUCGGUCGAAUCGCGACCGACACCGAGACUCGUCAUCAACGUGGAUCAUCGUAUUGUUGGUAUUAUGUCGUUUGUGUUAAGUGUUAGUU